rnacentral:tRNA from 1 species
GCCCCCGUAGCUCAAUGGAGGAGCAGAGACCUUCUAAGUCUAAGGAUGCGCGUUCGAGUCGCGCCGGGGGCG